CGCGGGAUGGAGCAGCCCGGUAGCUCGUCAGGCUCAUAACCUGAAGGUCACAGGUUCAAAUCCUGUUCCCGCACCCA
rnacentral:tRNA from 2 species